UACGUAGGGUGCAAGCGUUGUCCGGAUUCACUGGGUUUAAAGGGUGCGUAGGUGGGCAAGUAAGUCAGUGGUGAAAUCUCCGGGCUUAACCCGGAAACUGCCAUUGAUACUAUUUGUCUUGAAUACUGUGGAGGUCAGCGGAAUAUGUCAUGUAGCGGUGAAAUGCUUAGAUAUGACAUAGAACACCAAUUGCGAAGGCA
rnacentral:rRNA from 1 species